rnacentral:rRNA from 1 species
AUUGAACGCUGGCGGAAUGCUUUACACAUGCAAGUCGAACGGUAAAGGGGGCAACCCCUCGAGAGUGGCGAACGGGUGAGUAAUAUAUCGGAACGUGCCCAGUCGUGGGGGAUAACGUAGCGAAAGUUACGCUAAUACCGCAUACGAUCUAAGGAUGAAAGCGGGGGAUCGCAAGGCCUCGCGCGAUUGGAGCGGCCGAUAUCAGAUUAGGUAGGUGGUGGGGUAAAGGCUCACCAAGCCAACGAUCUGUAGCUGGUCUGAGAGGACGACCAGCCACACUGGAACUGAGACACGGUCCAGACUCCUACGGGAGGCAGCAGUGGGGAAUUUUGGACAAUGGACGCAAGUCUGAUCCAGCCAUUCCGCGUGCAGGAUGAAGGCCCUCGGGUUGUAAACUGCUUUUGUACGGAACGAAAAGGUCUCUCUUAAUACGGGGGACUCAUGACGGUACCGUAAGAAUAAGCACCGGCUAACUACGUGCCAGCCGCCGCCGUAA